rnacentral:rRNA from 1 species
CCCUUAGAUGUUCUGGGCCGCACACGCGCUACACUGAAGGAGGCAGCGUGUACUCCUGGAUCGAAAGAUUUGGGUAACCCGCGAAUCUCCUUCGUGCUAGGGAUUGAGGUUUGCAAUUAUCCUUCAUGAACGAGGAAUUCCCAGUAAGUGCAAGUCAUAAGCUUGCGCUGACUACGUCCCUGCCCUUUGUACACGCCGCCCGUCGCUGCUACCGAUUGAAUGAUUUAGUGAGGACUUCGGACUGGGACCGAUGCGGCUUUCGGGCUGCGUCGGUAUUCUGGAAAGAUGUCCAAACUGUAUCAUUUAGAGGAAGUAAAAGUCGUAACA